UAUAAUUGGGAUCAACCCAUGCUAGUACGCCCUUGAGCUGGCACCUACAUAUAAAGGUAUUGGGAUCAGUCCAUGCUAGGCUUAUGCCCAUGAGAUGCCAUCCGCUUUUAUUCAAAUUUAUGUUACUUAGUUUAUUUAGCCUAGGGGAUUAUUACUUUGUUUGGUCAUAAAAUUUUGGCACCUUUGAACAAUAAUUUACCAAUAAGAGACAUGUGAAUAAAC
rnacentral:lncRNA from 1 species